rnacentral:rRNA from 1 species
CCUACGGGAGGCAGCAGUGGGGAAUAUUGCACAAUGGGGGGAACCCUGAUGCAGCGACGCCGCGUGAGUGAAGAAGUAUUUCGGUAUGUAAAGCUCUAUCAGCAGGGAAGAAAAUGACGGUACCUGACUAAGAAGCCCCGGCUAACUACGUGCCAGCAGCCGCGGUAAUACGUAGGGGGCAAGCGUUAUCCGGAUUUACUGGGUGUAAAGGGAGCGCAGACGGCUGUGCAAGUCUGGAGUGAAAGGCGGGGGCCCAACCCCCGGACUGCUCUGGAAACUGUAAAGCUGGAGUGCAGGAGAGGUAAGCGGAAUUCCUAGUGGAGCGGUGAAAUGCGGAGAUAUUAGGAGGAACACCAGGGGCGAAGGCGGCUUACUGGACUGCAACUGACGUUGAGGCUCGAAAGCGUGGGGAGCAAACAGGAUUAGAUACCCCUGUAGUA